rnacentral:misc_RNA from 1 species
UCCGGCUUAUCACCGGCAGUUUCUUUAGAGUGCCCAACUGAAUGGUGGCAACUAAAGACGAGGGUUGCGCUCGUUGCGGGACUUAACCCAACAUCUCACGACACGAGCUGACGACAGCCAUGCAGCACCUGUGUCCAGGUCCCGUAAGGGAAGGAAUCCAUCUCUGGAGCGGUCCGGUGAAUGUCAAGCCUUGGUAAGGUUCCUCGCGUUGCAUCGAAUUAAUCCGCAUGCUCCGCCGCUUGUGCGGGCCCCCGUCAAUUCUUUUGAGUUUUAGCCUUGCGGCCGUACUCCCCAGGCGGAACACUUAUCGCGUUGGCUUCGGCACAGACAGAUUCGACUCCGCCCACACCUAGUGUUCAUCGUUUACGGCGUGGACUAC